GAACCUUACCAACCUUUGACAUGCCCAGUAUGGUCGUCAGAAAUGACUUCCUUCCCGCAAGGGGCUGGAGCACAGGUGCUGCAUGGCUGUCGUCAGCUCGUGUCGUGAGAUGUUGGGUUAAGUCCCGCAACGAGCGCAACCCUCGCCCUUAGUUGCCAUCAUUUAGUUGGGCACUCUAAGGGGACUGCCGGUGAUAAACCGCGAGGAAGGUGGGGAUGACGUCAAGUCCUCAUGGCCCUUACAGGUUGGGCUACACACGUGCUACAAUGGCGGUGACAGUGGGAUGCAAUGGAGUAAUCCUGCGCAAAUCUCAAAAAGCCGUCUCAGUUCGGAUUGUGCUCUGCAACUCGAGCACAUGAAGUUGGAAUCGCUAGUAAUCGCAGAUCAGCACGCUGCGGUGAAUACGUUCCCGGGCCUUGUCACACCGA
rnacentral:rRNA from 1 species